AGACACCGGCGUAGGACGUUAAAAGCCACCCAGACUCUGAACGGGUGAGAAGGAAAACGAAUAGAAAAAGAAAGAAUAGUAGGCUGAAAUAGCCUCGAGUUGGAACAAUAUCGGCAAGGCUGAAAAGUCUCAAAGGCAACUAGGCAAGUUUUAACUGUUGGAUGCUACGAGAAUUUAAGCGACCGGUUAGCCUGUUAUCACUUUAUAAUUAAUUGAUUAAUUGGUGAAACUGAAAACUAACUAUCUACGCUACCUCUGGAUUUUGAUAGUCUAGACGUUGAUUACAUUUCAGUGGCGACAAGCUGUGUUUCGGACUCACCUGCUAGGACUUUACUCCGCCACCUGCAGACUUCCAGACCUGGAACACCGGGAGUUUUGUAAAAAAAAAAGAAAAAAGAAAAAACACAGCCGAGCCUGUAGUAUCUGAACACCGAGGAGGAGGAGGAGAAGGAGGAGGAGGAGGAGGAGAGGGAGAGUACGGAGGCACAAAGAGUGGAGAGCAUCCAGAGAGUGGGGAGGAAGGAGGACGGCACAACAACAGAGAGCAUCCCUCUUUAAUUUAGGAUCCACACACAGGCACCACUCUACCCGUAUAAGCAUCCUCUGGACACGGGAUCCUGAACGCUGUAUAUCAACCAAAAGGGACAACUGCUCCUGAUCUGUUUGCCCCUGCAGUACCCAGUCCUCCUCUCCACUCUGUCCCGAUGAAGGAGGCAGACGCCAUCAAGCUGUUCGUGGGGCAGAUUCCCCGUAAUCUGGAAGAAAAGGACCUCAAGCCUAUCUUCGAGCAGUUUGGCAAGAUCUAUGAGCUAACUGUGAUUAAGGACAAAUACACUGGCAUGCACAAAGGAUGUGCGUUUCUGACGUACUGUGCGAGAGAGUCGGCACUGAAAGCCCAGAGCGCUCUACAUGAGCAGAAAACACUACCAGGGAUGAAUCGGCCAAUCCAGGUGAAACCAGCUGACAGCGAGGGCAGAGGAGUUGGCCUCUCAGAGGACAGGAAGCUGUUCGUGGGCAUGCUGGGAAAGCAGCAGAGCGACGAGGAUGUGAGAAGACUGUUUGAGCCCUUUGGCAGCAUAGACGAGUGCACUGUGUUGAGAGGACCUGACGGCACCAGCAAAGGGUGCGCUUUUGUAAAAUACCAAGGACAUGCUGAAGCCCAGGCUGCCAUCAACAGCUUGCAUGGAAGCCGCACAAUGCCUGGAGCGUCGUCCAGUCUGGUGGUGAAGUUUGCCGACACAGAGAAGGAGCGGGGGCUGAGGAGGAUGCAGCAGGUGGCCUCGCAGCUCGGCAUCUUCAGCCCCAUGACCCUCAACUUCCCCGCCUACAAUGCCUACACACAGGCGGUCAACGCACAGCUUGUCCAACAGCAGGCUCUGGUUGCCCAGUCAGCGUACUUGUCUCCUGUGGCAACAGUUGCCGCCGUACAGAUGCAGCAGAUGGCGGCGCUCAAUGCCAACGGAAUCAUUGCCACACCCAUUACACCCAUCACGCCGUCUUCGGGUACAAAUACUCCACCAACUAUCGCAGCAACGCCUGUGCCCUCUCUCCCUCCGCCACUAGGAGUGAAUGGUUACAGCAGUCUGCCAGCCCCCAGCAAUGGACAACAAGCAACAGAAGCACUCUACAGCAACGGCGUUCAUCCAUAUCAAGCUCAGAGUCCAGUUGCGACCCUGGACCCCCUGCAGCAGGCGUAUGCAGGCAUGCAACACUACACAGGUUGGUCGGCGUAUCCUGCUGCCUACGGAUUGGUCGGCCAGCCGUUUCCCCAGCAGCCAACAAUGGUUGCCCAGCAACACCAGCAGCCCCAGCAACAGCAGCAGAGAGAAGGUCCAGAGGGGUGUAACAUCUUCAUCUACCACCUGCCCCAGGAGUUCAGUGACUCUGAGAUGCUGCAGAUGUUCCUGCCCUUUGGCAAUGUCAUCUCGGCUAAGGUGUUUGUGGACCGAGCCACCAACCAGAGCAAAUGCUUCGGAUUUGUGAGUUUUGAUAACCCAGCUAGUGCUCAGGCCGCCAUCCAGGCCAUGAAUGGUUUCCAGAUCGGCAUGAAGAGACUGAAAGUGCAGCUCAAAAGGCCCAAAGAUGCCAACCGCCCAUACUGAGUGACAACUGAGAGGAGGAACAAGAAUUGAUGAGAGAUCCUUCCGUCCAAUCAUAAUUCUCGAGGACCCCAUCGCUAUGGCAAUGGUUGCCUAGUGAACGAUAAAGCCCUGACCCCCCCUUCCUCUCGCAUUGUUGUGAUCUUUCAGAGUCCAGCCGAGGUGGAAUCCCAGGGUUCAUAGUGCUUUCAGACUGUCUGCUACCUUUGAGCGUCCGGGGAGUGCAGCCACACACACUGACACACUCACACAAAUACACAUGCGCUAUUAACUCUGAACCUCCUAGGUGGAAGGCUCAUUUAUAAAUGUACAUAAAGUGCACAAACACACACACACACACACACACACACACACACACACACACACACACACACACACACACACACACACGCCUGCAGACACUCAGACAAAACACACACGGUUCACACGAGUCAGUAAUUUCACCCAUACAGCCAAGAGCUUGGUUUGACCACGGUCUGUGUGGAGUUUGCCAACAGGGUGUUAAGUACAGCAACUCAGACCGAGCACGUAUGGAAGUGUACUGAUUAAAAAAUGCUGAUAUAUCACUACAAUAGACUUAAACAUGUCUAUACCAUGUCUAAUCCAUGACAAAUAUAGAGGGGCUGAUGUUUCUUAAUAAAAAAAAUGAAGAAAAUAAAAAAAAAAGACAACUAAAUGAGUAGGUUAGAGAGACUUUGGAGAAAAUCCUAAUGACUUGUAAAUAAUUUAGUUUACAAAGAGCUGCAUUUAAAAAACAAGAAAAAAUGCAAAAAGAAUACUACUUUAGAUAAACACUGAACAGGACACAGCGACAUUAUUAUUUAUUAUUAUUGUUAUUAUCAUUAUUAUUAUUAUUACCACUAGUAACUUCAUCGUCCUCUUAAAGGGAUAUUACAUUCCAAAUUGUAAAAUGGGAAAUCACUAACCUAUUUUAAAUUUAUACUUAGAUUUUAGGUGGAAAUUCGGGGGAGGGGGGAUCGCACUUUUAUUCUGGAGGUUUUAAUAUUUGAGCUAUUUUUUAUUUAUUUACUAAUUUAUCAAUUAUUUUGUUUAUUGGGAGAUGGGGUUUGAGUGGGAUGCAACAUUUUGAUUUUAGAAUUUUCUAGAGAAAACCUUUUAAGGGCCUGUUUCUGUCAGACUCUUGCAAUCGAGUAAUUAUAAUGUAUGUAUUAAUUAUUACAGCAAUUAUAUUUAUUUCUUAUUUAUUGAAUCCUGUUUUUGAUCCACUCUCUUUUUAAGUUAAAAUAAAAA